GAUGAACGCUGGCGGCGUGCCUAAUACAUGCAAGUCGAGCGAACAGACGAGGAGCUUGCCUCUCUGACGUUAGCGGCGGACGGGUGAGUAACACGUGGAUAACCUACCUAUAAGACUGGGAUAACUUCGGGAAACCGGAGAUAAUACCGGAUAAUAUAUUGAACCGCAUGGUUCUAUAGAGAAAGACGGAUUUGCUGUCACUUAUAGAUGGAUCCGAGCCGCAUUAGCUAGUUGGUAGGGUAACGGCUAACCAAGGCAACGAUGCGUAACCGAUCUGAGAGGGUGAUCAGUCACACUGGAACUGAGACACGGUCCAGACUCCUACGGGAGGCAGCAGUGGGGAAUAUUGGACAAUGGGCGAAAGCCUGAUCCAGCCAUGCCGCGUGUGUGAAGAAGGUCUUCGGAUUGUAAAGCACUUUAAGUUGGGAGGAAGGGCAGUAAGUUAAUACCUUGCUGUUUUGACGUUACCAACAGAAUAAGCACCGGCUAACUUCGUG
rnacentral:rRNA from 1 species